ACAUGCCUACAACAUAGAGUUAAUGCAACAGAUCCCAUUAGAACUAUGUAGUUAAGCAUGCUCAGGUUCGAGUAGUACUGGGAUGGGUGACCGCCUAGGAAAUCCUAGUGUUUUACAUGCC
rnacentral:rRNA from 1 species